rnacentral:rRNA from 1 species
AUACAUCAAAACUCCUGUUUCAACGGUGUUGUCUGAGCUACAAGCAACGAAUCAAAACUUUCAACAACGGAUCUCUUGGUUCUGGCAUCGAUGAAGAACGCAGCGAAAUGCGAUAAGUAGUGUGAAUUGCAGAAUUCAGUGAAUCAUCGAAUCUUUGAACGCACAUUGCGCCCCUUGGUAUCCCGAGGGGCAUGCCUGUUCGAGCGUCAUUUCACCACUCAAGCCUGGCUUGGUGUUGGGUGACGUCCCCUUUGAGGACGCGCCUCGAAACGCUCGGCGGCGUGGCACCGGCUUUAAGCGUAGCAGAAUCUUUCGCUUCGAAAGUCGGGGCCCCGUCUGCCGGAAGACCUACUCGCAAGGUUGACCUCGGAUCAGGCAGGGAUACCCGCUGAACUUAAGCAUAUCAAUAAGCGGAGGAA